rnacentral:lncRNA from 1 species
GAGGGGUAUUACAAUUGUUCAAGUUAAUUAAUAUUCCGAGUGAGCGUCCUUCACAACAAUAUAAAAUGUGGAAAUUUUUGGAAGGAGUUAAACCGCCGGACAAAAAAAAUAAAAUAAGUGAAAAUCAAAAGGAAGAUCGAAAUAAAGUAAAUGAAAUUGACAAAAGGAAACGCAAAUACCAAAAAUCAUGGGGAAAAGAUCGCGAAUGGUUGAAUUAUAUAGUAGAUGGGAAUUUAAUGAACUGUACAA